rnacentral:lncRNA from 1 species
CAUUGGGGUGCCAGAGAAGCGAACAGUUUUGACUGGGCUGAGCGGGAACUGUGCUUCCUCAGAGAGCGGAGCUGGAGAAACAUGGGUACAAGAUGGAGACGUCUCAGUAGCAGCCGAGUCCACACGGCUGUUGAGAUCGGAUAGGGAUGGACUUGAAUUUAUAACAUCAUACUUGAAAUGGAGGAUGUUUAACUUGCUAAACUCGCACACAUUUUUGUACGAAACCUUAGCACGAGUAAAGUGUUUCACGAGUAAAUUCCCCGCUCAGAGUUAUGUAGACAUUAAAGAUGGUUAUUUUCAAGUAUCUGUCCACAUACUCUUAUUUAUGCACAUUUUCCAUCUUUAUAUAUAAUCAGCUGGUCAGUUACUGCUUUAAUAUAAAUCCAUAUUUUACAGGUUUUGUGUUUUUACUAUAAUGACCACUUUGGUCCAGGGCUUUGGUUUAACAUCCAUUUAAAUACCACUUUUUGUUAGAGCCAUUGAUUUAAAUGUAGCUUUACUGCCUGCGCAACACUUAACCUACGUUUUAAUGGUCCAGUAAUUAUUGGCCUGUGUGACACACUCCAUCUAUUUUAAUCCACAAUAUGAAUGUUGCAUGAUGUUAGUAAAGAGUCAAGUGCUGCACUGCACAUUUUUCCAUUGUAAUGCUCUUAGUUUGAAAACUACCACCCAUUUUUCACAUGGUCACUCUCCAAUAUUAAACCAUUCAAUGAACAGGUGUGUGUCAGUCAGAAGUGGAUGGGGAGACACACACACACGCAGCGAGAUGUGUGCAUAAAUUGUGUGUACAGUGUGUGGGUGUGUGUGUGUAGGAUGAUCCACACACAGGGAUGCGUGUUCCCCUCUGCUGUCUACAUUCCCUCUGAGCUCAUGGCGUUGGGGCUGGGUCUCAGUCUGAAGGAGAGAUUAUCCACUGCCGUGUUUGUCAGGGGCAGGGAGGUGGUCUCAGCAUGGGGGCCCCUGCCCUGCCUGGGCCUGCCCUACUCCCGACCAGGCCCUGCUUUUCCGGCUCUGCACAGCAGGGACCCCUGCACUGAACCGAGGCCAAUUUAGCCCAGCCACACUCGCCCCUGCAUUUGUGGACUCUCAGUCCCUCUGUCUUAAAGAGAAGAAAUGGAUGCCAGUAAAACCUGCUGUAUAAGAGCUGCUUCCUCUCCUCCAGUGUUGCUCCCUCUGCUCUUUAUAUGUUGCUGGUAGACCUGCGUUAGCUUCUGUGGGAAUAGCAGUUAGGAAAGUUUUCUGCACAUACUGUUUUCCAGUGUUUCUCUACAUAUUAUGGUUGUAUUAUUAGAUACAAUCCUGAUUUCCUGUUCAAAACAAAAUGGGUUGAUUUAUCUCGUCUAUCCUCCACCACUAUAGGCAAAACAGACCAUCCUGUCAUCUGUCUUUUCCAGAUGAUUUUACAUCUAUGAUCUAUUGCUCAUGGCUGUCGUUCGUAAUGGUGUCUUUUUAAGGUAUGUUCUCUGAUAUUUGUGAAGUUGCACAGGUGUAAGUCCUCAAGAUGAGGGUAUCUCUCCAGAGGGUAUAACUCCCUCUUCACCAGUGAUUAUGCCAAACACUCGUCUGCAGACCACAAUCCAACCGCUCCCUUGUGUGUAAAGCCCUUAUGACACGUUCUGAUCUCUCCAACUGUUCAGAAUGGAAUUUCAAUUAGUCCAAAAUGAACAUUUGGUGUCUUUAGACUUUAUAGACCCCAUUUGAACUUGCAGUUGUGGGUUCUACUAGUGAAAUAUAAAAUGUAUACAUUUUGACACAUUAUUAAAUGGAGGAUGUGGGACUAAGAUUGACACAAUACACAAAGAUGCUCACGUUUACUUAUGCCGUUAAGCUAAGUGCCAAGAGCCGGAUCAUUAUUUUAAUUGUUGGAAAGGCAACGGAGUGAGAGAAUCGGUAAGUGUGAGAAAUGGAGAACACAGCCAUUUUGUUUGUGCUGAGAGCGGCAGGUUGUCUCCCUGUGUUGGGGUUUGAGCAGGGCCUCUGUGCCCCCCCCCAAUUGCUUUUCAUUUGCCUAACUUUUGUCAUUCAUUUAUGAGCCACAUAAUUCACCUUGACAUGGGCAGUCUGCCCACUUUUACCAAUAUUAAUGUGUCAACAAUCACAUUUCUAGUUUGAACUGAACCCCAAUGAGGAUGUAUUUUUGGAAGGUAACAGGAUUUCAAUUUGGAACACUGUUUCAUCAAUAGACUGCUACAGUUGCUUUUGUCCACUUUGUCAAAAUAAAAAGCAUCUGUACAUGAAACCC